rnacentral:tRNA from 1 species
AGGGAUAUAGUUCAAUGGCAUAAGCGCCUGCCUGGCAAGCAUGAGGUUCUGAGUUUGAUCCCCAGUGCCCUUC